GCGGGCGGCUGCUGUACGCGGGCCGGGCCCAAAAGCGCGUGGAGCGGCAGAAUGAACUGAAGCGCAGGUUUGAGCAGAUGAAGCAGGACCGGCUGAGGCGUUACCAGGGUGUGAACUUGUAUGUGAAGAACCUGGACGACUCCAUUGAUGACGACAAACUGAGGAAAGAGUUCUCUCCCUAUGGAGUAAUUACCAGUGCGAAGGUGAUGACAGAGGGUGGCCACAGCAAGGGGUUUGGCUUUGUGUGUUUUUCCUCCCCAGAAGAGGCGACAAAGGCCGUGACAGAGAUGAACGGGCGCAUCGUGGGCACCAAGCCACUCUACGUGGCACUGGCCCAGCGCAAAGAGGAGCGGAAGGCCAUCUUGACCAACCAGUACAUGCAGCGCCUCUCCACCAUGCGGACCCUGAGCAACCCCCUCCUGGGCUCCUUUCAGCAGCCCUCCAGCUACUUCCUGCCUGCCAUGCCCCAGCUGCCUACCCUCCAGGUGCCUCAAUGGUCCGGCCACCAGUUGUGCCUCGGCGCCCCCCGGCCCACAUCAGCAGUGUCAGGCAGGCCUCCACCCAGGUGCCACGCACGGUGCCUCAUACCCAGAGAGUAGCCAACAUUGGUACUCAGACCACAGGACCCAGUGGGGUAGGAUGCUGUACACCAGGCCGGCCGCUCCUGCCGUGCAAAUGUUCCUCAGCAGCACAUAGCACCUAUCGGGUCCAGGAGCCGGCUGUGCACAUCCCAGGACAGGAGCCCCUGACGGCGUCCAUGCUGGCUGCGGCGCCCCUGCAUGAGCAAAAGCAGAUGAUUGAAGGUGUUCCACACAGGGGAGCGUCUCUACCCCCUUAUCCAUGAUGUCCACACCCAGCUGGCUGGCAAGAUCACGGGCAUGCUGCUGGAGAUUGACAACUCGGAGCUGUUGCUCAUGCUGGAGUCUCCAGAAUCCCUCCAUGCCAAGAUAGACGAGGCAGUGGCCGUGCUGCAGGCACACCAGGCUAUGGAGCAGCCGAAGGCGUACAUGCACUGAAACCAGAAAAGGAAAUCCUCGCUUCCAUGGCUGCCAAAAGGACAGUGUUUCUGGCUCUCAGCCCUAAGGCCCUGCAAACUCUAACUUAUUUCCCAAUUAGUCUGUAUCUAUACUUGGGCUCUGUAUGUGAAUGAAGGUUGGUCACCCAUCCAGCCUAUUACCUUUUGCUUUGUGUAUUAAAAGUGCUGCAAAAUCUGC
rnacentral:sRNA from 1 species